rnacentral:rRNA from 1 species
UACGUAGGGGCCGAGCGUUGUCCGGAGUUAUUGGGCGUAAAGCGCGCGCAGGCGGCCUCGCGCGCCCGACGUGAAAGCCCCCGGCUUAACCGGGGAGAGUCGUUGGGGACGGCGGGGCUUGAGGGCGGGAGAGGUCGGUGGAAUUCCCGGUGUAGUGGUGAAAUGCGCAGAUAUCAGGAAGAACACCCGUGGCGAAGGCGGCUCUCUGGGCAUGUCCUGACGCUGAGGAGCGAAAGUGUGGGGAGCGAACAGG